CGGAAGAGACGCCCGUGAUUUUGCACCCCCGCUCGAGCAGAAUUUACCGGACUAUACGACGAGGGUGCACCACGGCCUCUUUCUCUCCCUUUCUCUUUCUCUCUCUCCUUCUUUUCUUCCACUUCUAUGUUUCUCUCCCUUUUUCUCGUCCAAACCUUCCCUCUUCCCUCCCUCAACUCCCGCUCGAACGUUUUCUCUCUCCGUCGCGAGCUGUCCCUAUUUCUCGCUUCCGGUUUUUCGCUUCGUACUCCUAGCCGCCGUCGUACCCCUCGCCGCCGGUCGUUACCAUUACGCGGCGCGUCGCGAAACCGCCGUACCACGCCGGAUGACGAAUGACGAGUGAGUGCCGGCCGCGGGGAGAGGGGACACCGCGGAGAGUUGGUCUCACCGCCGAUCCCGAUGCCUCGUGGUGGUGGGUGCUGGUUAUGAUAGUGGUACGCUGAUACGAGCCGACCACGCUGUCCCGCGAGAGCGCGAUUGUAUGUACAUACAUACGUGUGGGCGGACGCGCCUUCCCUCCCAUCCUCACUCCCGCCGCCGGUGUAUAUACCUUGACGAACGGUCUAGGCUAAUCGCGUCCUGGCCGCCGCUUAGUCACCGACGGUACGUCCUCGGGGUCCUCUUCGCGUGAUCCCGCCGGAACGCGAACGAACGUUGAGAGGAUCGGGGUGAUCGACCGGCAGGCGCGACGACGCCUCGUGCGUUUCCGACGUGCACUUAUUCAAAUUUCAACGACCCCCCCUUCCCCUCCCCCCUUCUCCCGUUUUGCGCGAGGCGGAAGUAAGGAGAGCGAAUGUGCGCGCUUUGUCGCGCUUUUCCGUUCUUGUUGCGUUCGAUCGUGUGCCGAUCAUCGAUCGAGAACCGCGAGAUUGAACUCGCAGGACACGCGCUCUCCUGUUCCCGCACGCGACACGCUGCAAUAUUACAUGUACGAUUUACAUGACGGUUUACGUACCACAGUGACGUGGCUGAUGAUCGAUGACGGGGCGAGUUGCGGGGGCUCACGUGGUCGACUUUCACUCGCUGCCGCAUACGCAUAUAUUUAUGAUUAAAUUCACCCAGACUGUCGGCGAAAUGGCACGGAGUUCCAAGGGCUGGUAGACGGCAGUCGGUCGGUCGAUCGCCUAUAGCAGGUAGUACCAUGACACUCGGCAGCCGUCGACAUUCGGGGUGAGCUAUGUGCAGGCACGGACUCCUUGACCUCUUCAAGUCGCGACACGACACGAAGAAUAUACCACGCGAAUAUGUGUAAACCACUCUCGACGACGCGCCGUGGUAAGCGAGCGAGUGACGGUAUUAUAACUCGAGAGGCUUAGCCCCGAUCGAACCCUCUAUGAUUUCGAGAGAGUCCUCACUCGACUCGGAAAAGCAUCGUCGAAUCGUCGUGCCUUGCACGGACUUUAUUCGCCGCAAACCGCCGUCAUCUGUCUAUCGGGACGCAUCGUUUUCCUGCCGGCAGAAUCGCUAGAAACUUCAAAGUGCAGGAAGCAGCAAGUCACGAGCAGUCGACAGGCCCUUUGAUCGCCAUCCAUCACGCGCGAGUACUUCCCGCCAGGUUGAUUGUCAAUAAUAAAGUGUAUCGGAUAUUAUAUCUACUUAUCUGUAGUCUGUAAUCUUAGCAAGUGAAUACAUCCCGAGAUAUCGGAAAAAAAUCGAUCGCGUAGUGUAAGUUUGCAACGUAGUGCAUCGAUAUAUACGAAUCCACGAAGCUGCUACUUUUUGUAUUGUUGUGAACUUCCGACCUCGAUUUGCCCCGGUUUUAUUCCGCCUCUCGAAAAGAAACACGAUUUCUAUACAAAGGUGCUUUUGAUGGUUAAUUUCGCGAAUAUUAAUGUGCGAUCGAACGUCAAGUAAAAUUUAAAAACGUGUUUCACGCGAGCUUUCUUUGGCACCGAAGCAGAAGUUUCGAAAUAGCAUAGAUGCAAUCGUAGUAAUCGAAGCGCCAUAUAAAUCGACGAGAUAGAAAAAGACAAAUCGGCAGCACGAUACUGGCAGCGCAAUAUAUCACGUAAUCCCUAACGCUUCAAAAUCCUACUGGUUGAUCGGUAAUAGUGUGGUGGACAUCGGUUGAACAGCAAUUGAACACCGAAACGAGAUCUAACGAUAGUAUGAGGCCGACGAAAGUAGUACAGGAUCGAAAGGGAUGACCGAGCAAAGAUCCCAAUGACAUCUCGGCGGGGCGGGAGCGAGGGGUAUAAAAGUCCUCCCAGCCCUCCGAGCAGCGGUUCGGAGGACAAUGGCUUCACGAACCGACCCCGGGUGGCCGGGCUCUACGUGAAGAACUUGAGUAGAGAGGAGUUGGAUGAGUUGGCCAAAGAGGGAAUUUACGGGCCCACCGGGAAUCCAAACGACCGACCCAGAGAUGGCGGUAGUCAAAGGAGUCUCGAUAUUCCGGGUAGCAGCAGGGACUUGGACGGUCAAGAUCAUCGCAGAGGAGCGACUUCUAGAACACCCCAGCCACCCAGAAGAUCUGGCGUCUCACCCAGAUAUCGAGAAUUGGAGAAUUUAACGCGAAGGGAUCAUCAUGGCUCGCUCUCAAUGGAAAGAAGUUGGUCGAAGCGACCAGAGGAUCGUCCAACUUCCUCACUGGAAAGGUCCGCCCGAGGGUCCUCCGAAUUUCUCACCAGUUGGAGAGAGCCGUUCGUACGGUCCAGCGCUAGUUCAUCGCCCAGAGGAAGUUCCAUCGACGUGCGAGUUACCGGCGAGGAUCUCAGGAUGGCGGCUAAAGCGCGCCGUUUUGCAGACGCCCCGAGACGCCCUGAAGCACCCUCGCCUCGCAUUUCCUCGUCGGCAGAACCUAGCGGGGAUCAGAGGGAAUCGCCGCCACCAUACGUGAAUUUAACUCCGCCUAAAUACACCGAGUACGAGGAACCGAGUUCACGACCGUCGAAGAUUUGCCCCAAGACUGAGACGAAUGUCUAUCAAGCUGAUAACAAGGAACGUUCAAGCUCACCGCUGGAAGAAGAUAAGGAGCGUCCGCAAACGGCUAAGUCGUCGGACGCGCGCACAUCCGAUACUGACAAGGUGGAUGGGGCCUCGAGUCCGUCGGGGACGGAAAAGCUAACCUCACCGGAGUCCAAGAAGAGCGAAUCCCCGCCGAUGAAGAGAACCGGCUCCAGAAUGCAAGACAGCAUGAAACUGCGACCACCGUUGGUCGCAACCGCCGGCACCUCCGCCGAUUCUGGCACCGGCGAUUCCGGAAGUGCAGAGAUUCAGGCGGAUGUCGUGACACCGCAGGCAUCGUCGGGCGACAUUUUGGACAGCAGGGAGUCCAAGAUCGAAGGCAGGUCCGGCUCGAGGACCCCCGGCAGCAAGGGCGGCAAGCAGACAGUCAAGCCGUUCACGAAGGAGAGCAGGUUGGAGAACAAGACUGUGCAAUUAGUGCGCGAGUAUGGUUUUCAACCGAAGAAAAAGAUGUCGGUGGAGGAUGGCGCGGUACUGCCAAACAAAUUCGAACCGUUCCCGAAUAAUCUCUACGGCAGGCCGUUAGAAGAGAUCGAUAAUUUUAUCUACGACGAGACGUUCUGCGUGGUGUCCAAGAGAUUCCGCAAGAAUUACAUUCAUAGGUUUACGGCGACCAACAGUUGGUUCAUAUUCUCCCCGUGGAAUCCUAUACGACGGUGCUGUAUCUUCCUAAGUACGAAUCAGUACUUCGAUUACGUGGUCAUGGCUACUAUUCUUCUUAAUUGCGUCUUCCUGGCCAUGACCGAAACCGUCGAGGAAGCUGAAUAUAUCUUCCUAGCCAUAUACACGGCGGAAAUGGUGAUAAAAUCAAUCGCGAAGGGAUUUAUACUGAACAAGUACACUUAUCUACGGAAUCCCUGGAAUUGGUUGGACUUCGUGGUGAUUACCAGCGGAUACGCCACUAUUGGGAUGGAAGUCGGGAAUUUAGCCGGCCUCAGGACGUUCAGGGUGUUGAGAGCACUUAAGACUGUAUCCAUUAUGCCAGGUCUAAAAACUAUCAUCAACGCGCUGUUACACAGCUUUAAACAACUUGCCGAAGUAAUGACGUUGACAAUUUUCUGCCUGAUGGUUUUUGCUUUAUUCGCCUUGCAAGUUUAUAUGGGUGAACUCAGAAAUAAAUGUGUGAAGCAGCAAGAGCCAAAUGCUACGCAAAUCGACUGGAUCGAGUGGACUUGGAACUCAUCCAAUUGGGCGUACAAUGAGGACGAGGAGCCGAUCAUCUGCGGCAACGUAACUGGCUCCAGGCACUGCAACGAGAGCUACACUUGUCUCUGCGUUGGCCCUAAUCCAAACCACGGUUACACCAACUUCGAUAAUUUCCUGUGGUCGAUGCUCACAACCUUUCAGCUGAUUACCUUGGAUUACUGGGAGGAUGUCUACAACAAGGUGUUAUCAGCGUGCGGACCUAUUAGCGUCACAUUUUUCACGAUCGUCGUUUUCUUUGGAUCAUUUUAUCUGCUAAACUUGAUGCUGGCCGUCGUAGCGUUGAGUUAUGAAGAAGAAGCUGAAAUUACAAACGAGGAACGAAGAAAAGACCUGACGGAUCAUCGCGAGGAUUCGACGUUCAGCUUCGAUCCGUCGAAGAUCAACAUUAAGACACUAACGAAGAACAAGCAGAAGAGAAUAGACGCCCGUAAAGGUGUUCUGCUUAGCAGUUACACGAGGAAGAAGACACGUAGAAGAAAGCGCGGCAGGAGUAGCGUCGGUCAGGAGAAAAACGGUGGUGCACGCAGCAGAUCUAUAACACCCAGCCCGAGUCCGAGUCCGAGGCAUUCCAAUGUACGGCCUUCGCAUUUGCCACUGCAGAACAUUAGUCCCAGACCACCGGAGCCCAACACGGUACACCGGCUGGCACCGAAUCGGGGUAUGCUGCACUCGAGGCAAGCGAGCAACAAUAGCAAUCAACAGUCGUCUCUGGACGACUCGGGGGUGGUGGACGAUCAUGACGGCGACGACGUCACGUCCGCCGAGGAGCACGACAAGCGCGAGCAUCGCUCCGAGAAGUUGCAGGAAAGAUCCCCACGGGAGCAUAGCAGGAUUCAACACUCGGCCCAGCAAACGCGCCCGGAUUAUCCACCGGCACCGGUUACCGUAUCGGUGAGGACCGGCAAUCGGGAGAUUCGGGUACUUAAGUGCAACGGGGUUAAAACCAAGAAACAUAUGUACGCGCUGCCGCCAGAGUACCUGUCGCAUAUUGUAGUUUUAGAUGAUCUUCCAGAUAGAAACUGCGAUAAGUGUAUUCAAUGUUGCGUUGAUUACGAGGGAUGGUUAAGAUUUCAGAACUGCCUGUACAAGGUGGUGAGGGAUCCCCUGUUCGAGUUGAUGAUCACUCUCUGCAUCGUCUUGAACACCGGUUUUUUGGCGAUGGAACAUCACGGUAUGAGCGAAUCGAUACGGCAGGCGCUCAACAUCGGUAACAAAGUGUUCACCAGCAUCUUCACAUUUGAAUGCUUCCUGAAGCUCCUGGCACUGAGCAAGGACUUCUUCAACAACGGCUGGAAUAACUUCGAUCUGAUCAUCGUUUCUGCGUCGCUUAUUGACUUAACAUUUGAACUAGUGGAUGGUUUGUCAGUAAUACGCGGCCUCAGACUGUUGCGCGUUCUAAAGCUCGCGCAGUCUUGGACGACCAUGAAAGUCCUUCUCAGCAUUAUCAUUUCAACGAUAGGCGCGCUCGGUAAUCUGACUUUUGUGUUGGUGAUCGUGAUAUACAUAUUCGCUGUGAUCGGCAUGCAGCUGUUUAGCAAAGACUACACCCUGGACAAGUUCUACCCGGAUCCGGUGCCGCGGUGGAACUUCAAUGAUUUCUUCCAUUCGUUUAUGAUGAUAUUCCGCAUUCUGUGCGGUGAGUGGAUCGAGCCGCUGUGGGACUGCAUGCGCGCGGAAAGAGACGACGGGCCGGGCACGUGCUUUGCGAUCUUCCUGCCAGCCUUGGUGAUGGGAAACUUCAUGGUCCUUAACCUCUUCUUGGCCUUGUUGCUCAACAGCUUCAAUUCUGAAGAGCUGAAGCAGAAGAAGGAGGAAGUCGGCGAGGAAUCGAAGCUCGCGCGCUCUUUCGAUCGCAUACGGUCGAUCGUGCGCAAGCAGAAGCAUCGGAAAGAAAAUUCUGAGAACGAGAAGAAUAUCCGACUGGAGCAGAUCGUACGCGAAGUGAUGGACAAGUCCGACAAAGAGAAGUACGCGAUCCAGGAGACCGUGCUGAGCCUUCCCAAAGACAAUAUUUAUAAUAGAUCGUAUCAAGAAAGUCUCAAUCAGCCGGUUUUUACGUACGAUCCGAUCUAUCGUCAGGCCACUCUCACUACCUACAGCCAAAAUAGUCCAAAGCAAGAGACGGUCAAGGAGAAUAAGAAAUUGACCGAGAAAGGUAACAGUAACGAGACCAAUCCCGAGGAGAGUAUAGAGCUGGAGGUGCUCAAGGAUGCUAAUCCGGACGAGGAUGUGGCCAUGUUGCCGGAAGAGAAGCCGGCUCCUCAAAAUGAUGAAAAGAUAGGAAAACGUCCUUGGCAUGCCCUUGUGAGUUACGUGGAUGAGCUCACUGUCGGAGGUAGAAGAGACAGCAAGGGAAGGUACAUUGACGGGAUGGGAUCGUUUCCUGGAUUCGGCAGAAACAAGAAACGGAAGGAACCGCUUGAUUGCCUUCCCCAACAUUGCUACCGGAAGUGCGGUUUUAUCAAUCGUUGCCUCGCCACGGAUCUUGGCAAGAAAUGGAUAAGAAUUCGCACGGUCGUCUUAUCGGUCGUGGACACACCCGCCUUCGAAUGGAUGAUCCUAGUUUUAAUUUUUGCAUCUUCCAUAACGCUGUGCUUCGAAGACAUCUACCUAGACGACAAUCCUUUUUUGAAAAAGAUUCUCUAUUGGACCAAUCUUGGCUUCUGCACACUUUUCAGCGUCGAGAUGCUCCUGAAAUGGCUAGCUCUAGGCUUCUGUAAAUAUUUCACCAGUUUCUGGACAAUCCUGGAUUUUAUAAUCGUUUUCGUAUCCAUGUUUAGCCUUUUGAUAGAAGAAAAUGAGAACCUUAAAGUUUUACGAUCACUGAGGACACUACGCGCCCUAAGGCCGCUGAGGGCGAUCUCAAGAUGGCAAGGCAUGAGGAUCGUAGUGAACGCGUUGAUGUAUGCGAUACCUAGUAUAUUCAACGUGCUCCUCGUCUGUCUCGUGUUCUGGCUUAUUUUUUCGAUAAUGGGCGUUCAGUUCUUCGGCGGCAAGUUCUUCAAGUGUGUUGACGAGUACGGACAAAUGCUGGACGUUUCGAUAGUGAACACCAGGGAGGAAUGUUUCAGCAAGAAUUAUUCCUGGGAGAAUAGCAAAAUCACUUUCGACCACGUUGGCAUCGCUUACCUGGCUUUGUUUCAAGUAGCGACCUUCGAGGGAUGGAUGGAAGUGAUGGAGGACGCUGUGGAUGCGAGAGGGGUUGAUCUGCAACCGCAGAGAGAAGCGAAUCUGUAUGCCUACCUCUACUUCGUCAUAUUCAUCGUCUGCGGCUCAUUCUUCACGCUUAAUCUCUUCAUUGGAGUAAUCAUAGACAAUUUCAACAUGCUGAAGAAAAAAUACGAAGGUGGGGUGUUAGAAAUGUUUUUGACCGAGAGUCAAAAACACUACUACACUGCCAUGAAAAAGCUUGGCCGUAAAAAGCCGCAAAAAGUUAUAAAACGUCCGAUGAACCAAUUCCUCGCAAUGUUCUACGACCUGUCCAAUUCUCGCAGGUAAUUGUAUAAUAAUGCUUUAUAGCAAAAAGCACACUGGAUGCUUUAAGCAAAAAAUUGUGUUAUUUAUAAUUGUUUCUAUCGAUAAUAUACAAAUUGAUGUGGUUAAUAACACUUUGGCGACACCAAUUUUAUUCUUUAUCGUAAUUUCACGACAGAUAAAGACUUCUUCUCUAUUAAGAGUUAUUAUUAUAUUUAAACUGUAACUUGAUUAUUAUAAUUAAAAACUUUCUCUUUUAAAUGUAAAGUUGAGAAAUCUUUAAAUAAUCUUUACAACUUCUAAAACUUAUGACUUUUUUAUGUUUAUAUUAUAUUUAGUUUAACACAUAUCUGUAAUUUUUAUAUUGUUUAUCUACUGUUUAUUUUUUUUUUACAACUAUUAUUAUAACUCGAUUUAAAUAAUCUUUCUCUUCAAAAAUUUUUUUAUCAGCUAGUAACAGUUAUCAUUUAUUUCUAGCAAAAAAAAUUGUUUAUGUUUUUCAAAAUUUUUUAUAUUUUAGGUUUAUAAAAAUAAAAAAAAAUACCUCAUACUUAAAUUUUACAAGUUUCCUUUAAUAAUUAGAAAAUCAAAAAUUUUAAAUUAGAUUAGAAUUUAUAUUCAUGGAUAUAAAGAAUUCGAAAAGAAAUGUAGAUUUUCUGAAAAAGUGUUUUAAUUUGAAUUAAAAAUUUGAGAAAUGUUCUAUAAAUAGUUAUAAAAUUGUAUUUUUAAAAAUAUUCUCAAAAAUCCUAAAAAUUAUAUUAAAAUUCUAAAAAAUUAUAUAAAGAAUUAAAAAAAAAGUUUCGCCAGAUAUUUCAAAUAAGAAAAAGGAUGUAUUUAUAAAAUUAGCAGCAUUGUAAUAUAAUUUAACAGUUCGAUAUAUAUUUACUGUUUAACAUCUUGCGUAUAAAUUUUUUUAUGACAAAUCCUUAUAAUUUGAUCGAGAUCACUAUUUGGUGCCAAAGUGUUAAUCUGACUUCCUUUAACGUAAUCGAAUGCACGUGUAUAUUUGUUGCAACAUGAAUGCGUAGAAAUGGUGUGGUCAAAACGUAAAUGGUAUCAUGUGGCGGUCGUAUUCUACUGUGCAGCACGCGUUCGAUCGCAGUAGAGCGCGAGCAAUGCGGCAGGUGUACAUUUCCCUUACAAUUCACAGACAUCUUAAAUUAAAUCGUUAGCAAGCAAGCUUUUGGUAUUUUGAUUAGUAUUUGAUGUUAAUUAAUAGAUGUUAAUACUUGUUCCACUCUUGAAACUGGUCUCUUGCCAGAUAUAUUAAACUCUAUUAUGGAUAAGUCGAGUGAAUGUACGUUAACGGUUUAACACAAGCACAGAUGUCUGUGCCGCAAAAUGUUAUUAAUAGGGUUUCUAAGUUACGGUUGUGUGCCCACCUCCUCAUUGCUCACGUCGCUGUGCUUGGACACGUAUUUCACAGAAUUGGCAUCCAUGUAUUUUAUUGCGAUUUGUGAUCAGAAUUGUAUAGAUAGGUUCUCGCAAAAUGCUAUCGCAUUAUUGCUCAUCGACAGUCAAUAGCUUACAAAUAAAAGAAAAUUGAAGAAGAAAGGAUAUUAUAAGAGUCAGCAUUUUCUACAUUGGAAGAUUGAUCUGCAAAACUAUUGUUCCUUGGUCUUCAAUUUGCUCAUUCCACGAUAAGAAGUUAAUUAUAGAUCGUGAAAAGAUGAGCUUCCAAGAGAGGCAGAACCUGUCAGAAGAUAAAUGCCGCAACUCUACAAUCCGUUUCUCGGAGUAAUGGAAAAUCGAUACCCAAAGGACAUUAAUGCUCGCCGCUUCUAAAUUGUAGAUACACAAUGUUGGCGUACUGUGAUACAACUGUGCAUAAUAGACGAGAUAAGCUGCAAGCUGGGAGGGUUACGUAAACGUCGUAACUUUGUAAUUCGGCGCGCGGGGAUUAGAUACUCUCUCGCUUUCUCUCUCUGCUCAUAAAGUCCAUGCAAAUGUAAAAUUAGCUCUACAGUAGCUGAAUAUAGAAUUAUUGUAGGGUAACUCCAGUAUUUAUGCCAUGUGAGAAUUUACGCCGCAAAAGUCAGAAAAAAAAA